rnacentral:rRNA from 1 species
GAUACUAUGUCCACAACUCCGUCCCUUUUCCGUCGUCAUCUCCGUACCCGUGAAGUCUUUUCCCACAACUGACAAGACUAACUCCGGUCAACUUCCGAAGGUGCACGGUGGAGGAAGCGGAGGAUGCGGCGCAGCUCUUUCCGCCUGUGCACGCCAUCCUCGGUUCCCCCUUGUCCCUUUCCGCCUGUGCUCUAAGCACUUGGGUCUCUUCUCUUACAUACGCUCGAACAGGUGGAGCCGCCACAGUCGGCGGUCACGGUGGCACAGGGCGGAGGCGGACCGGACCAGCGUUGUUUUCAUACUGACGUCCACACCAAGUAAGUCAAAACUUCAAACUAAAUGAACACGUACACACACACA